UCGGGUGUGACUGCGUACCUUUUGUAUAAUGGGUCAGCGACUUAUAUUCUGUAGCAAGGUUAACCGUAUAGGGGAGCCGCAGGGAAACCGAGUCUUAACUGGGCGUUAAGUUGCAGGGUAUAGACCCGAAACCCGGUGAUCUAGCCAUGGGCAGGUUGAAGGUUGGGUAACACUAACUGGAGGACCGAACCGACUAAUGUUGAAAAAUUAGCGGAUGACUUGUGGCUGGGGGUGAAAGGCCAAUCAAACCGGGAGAUAGCUGGUUCUCCCCGAAAGCUAUUUAGGUAGCGCCUCGUGAAUUCAUCUUCGGGGGUAGAGCACUGUUUCGGCUAGGGGGUCAUCCCGACUUACCAACCCGAUGCAAACUACGAAUACCGAAGAAUGUUAUCACGGGAGACACACGGCGGGUGCUAACGUCCGUCGUGAAGAGGGAAACAACCCAGACCGCCAGCUAAGGUCCCAAAGUCAUGGUUAAGUGGGAAACGAUGUGGGAAGGCACAGACAGCCAGGAUGUUGGCUUAGAAGCAGCCAUCAUUUAAAGAAAGCGUAAUAGCUCACUGGUCGAGUCGGCCUGCGCGGAAGAUGUAACGGGGCUAAACCAUGCACCGAAGCUGCGGCAGCGACACUAUGUGUUGUUGGGUAGGGGAGCGUUCUGUAAGCCUGCGAAGGUGACCUGUGAGGGUUGCUGGAGGUAUCAGAAGUGCGAAUGCUGACAUAAGUAACGAUAAAGCGGGUGAAAAGCCCGCUCGCCGGAAGACCAAGGGUUCCUGUCCAACGUUAAUCGGGGCAGGGUGAGUCGACCCCUAAGGCGAGGCCGAAAGGCGUAGUCGAUGGGAAACAGGUUAAUAUUCCUGUACUUGGUGUUACUGCGAAGGGGGGACGGAGAAGGCUAUGUUAGCCGGGCGACGGUUGUCCCGGUUUAAGCAUGUAGGCUGGUUGUCCAGGCAAAUCCGGAUAAUCAAGGCUGAGGUGUGAUGACGAGGCACUACGGUGCUGAAGUAACAAAUGCCCUGCUUCCAGGAAAAGCCUCUAAGCAUCAGGUAACAUCAAAUCGUACCCCAAACCGACACAGGUGGUCAGGUAGAGAAUACCAAGGCGCUUGAGAGAACUCGGGUGAAGGAACUAGGCAAAAUGGUGCCGUAACUUCGGGAGAAGGCACGCUGGUGUGUAGGUGAAGCCCCUGCGGGUGGAGCUGAGACCAGUCGAAGAUACCAGCUGGCUGCAACUGUUUAUUAAAAACACAGCACUGUGCAAACACGAAAGUGGACGUAUACGGUGUGACGCCUGCCCGGUGCCGGAAGGUUAAUUGAUGGGGUUAUCCGUAAGGAGAAGCUCUUGAUCGAAGCCCCGGUAAACGGCGGCCGUAACUAUAACGGUCCUAAGGUAGCGAAAUUCCUUGUCGGGUAAGUUCCGACCUGCACGAAUGGCGUAAUGAUGGCCAGGCUGUCUCCACCCGAGACUCAGUGAAAUUGAACUCGCUGUGAAGAUGCAGUGUACCCGCGGCAAGACGGAAAGACCCCGUGAACCUUUACUAUAGCUUGACACUGAACAUUGAGCCUUGAUGUGUAGGAUAGGUGGGAGGCUUUGAAGCGUGGACGCCAGUCUGCGUGGAGCCAACCUUGAAAUACCACCCUUUAAUGUUUGAUGUUCUAACGUUGGCCCCUGACCGGGGUUGCGGACAGUGUCUGGUGGGUAGUUUGACUGGGGCGGUCUCCUCCCAAAGCGUAACGGAGGAGCACGAAGGUUAGCUAAUCCUGGUCGGACAUCAGGAGGUUAGUGCAAUGGCAUAAGCUAGCUUGACUGCGAGCGUGACGGCGCGAGCAGGUGCGAAAGCAGGUCAUAGUGAUCCGGUGGUUCUGAAUGGAAGGGCCAUCGCUCAACGGAUAAAAGGUACUCCGGGGAUAACAGGCUGAUACCGCCCAAGAGUUCAUAUCGACGGCGGUGUUUGGCACCUCGAUGUCGGCUCAUCACAUCCUGGGGCUGAAGUAGGUCCCAAGGGUAUGGCUGUUCGCCAUUUAAAGUGGUACGCGAGCUGGGUUUAGAACGUCGUGAGACAGUUCGGUCCCUAUCUGCCGUGGGCGCUGGAGAAUUGAGGGGGGCUGCUCCUAGUACGAGAGGACCGGAGUGGACGCAUCACUGGUGUUCGGGUUGUCAUGCCAAUGGCACUGCCCGGUAGCUAAAUGCGGAAGAGAUAAGUGCUGAAAGCAUCUAAGCACGAAACUUGCCCCGAGAUGAGUUCUCCCUGAGACUUUAAGUCUCCUGAAGGAACGUUGAAGACGACGACGUUGAUAGGCCGGGUGUGUAAGCGCAGCGAUGCGUUGAGCUAACCGGUACUAAUGAACCGUGAGGCUUAACCUU
rnacentral:rRNA from 1 species